rnacentral:rRNA from 2 species
UAAUACGAAGGAUGCAAGCGUUAUCCGGAAUUAUUGGGUUUAAAGGGUGCGUAGGCGGACUAAUAAGUCAGUGGUGAAAGCCUGCAGCUUAACUGCAGAAUUGCCGUUGAUACUGUUAGUCUUGAGUACAGUUGAGGUAGGCGGAAUGUGUCAUGUAGCGGUGAAAUGCUUAGAUAUGACACAGAACACCGAUUGCGAAGGCAGCUUGCUAAGCUGUAACUGACGCUGAGGCACGAAAGCGUGGGGAGCAAACAGGAUUAGAUACCCUGGUAGUCCACGCCCUAAACGAUGAUAACUCGCUGUUGGCGAUACACUGUCAGCAGCCAAGCGAAAGCAUUAAGUUAUCCACCUGGGGAGUACGACCGCAAGGUUGAAACUCAAAUGAAUUGACGG